rnacentral:rRNA from 1 species
CCCUAUUAUUUUGGAACGUUAAUUGUGUUGUGUCUGAGUAGUAUUAGUUAUGUUCUUGAAACUUAAAGAAUUUGGCGGUAUCUCAUUCCUUCCAGAGGAAUCUGUCUCGUUAUCGAUAGUCCGCGUUGGACCUUACUUAGUUGCUUUGGUUUGUAUACCGCCGUUUAUUGAUUAUCUUUUUAGGGUUAGUUUAAUUUUCUGGUUUCUUUAUUUUGGUUUAUUUCAGGUCAAGGUGCAGCUUGUUUCUAAGUGAAUGAUGGAUUACAUUGUUAUUUGUUUAUUGGAUUGUUAAUUUUAAUAUUGGCAUGAAAUUGGAUUUGGUUGUAAUGAUUUGUAGAUUGUUAUUGUGAUAGUUGGUUCUGGGAUAUGCACACAUCGCCCGUCGCUCUCGUUUGUUGUUAAUGAGAUAAGUC